CUGGCAUCAUGGGAGGUGCCCCCCCCAUCUCCAUCCUCCUGGGCAGGUCACAGCACUGCACCCUCCAACAUCUAACAGCAGCUGUUGCAUGGAUUUUGUCCAGCUUUCUAGUUUAGGGCAGGAGGGCAAGUCCAAUACUUGUUAAUCAUGGCUGGAAGGGGAGGUCACUGUACCAUUUUUUAUGUAACCGGUAAAUAUAAAUUGGUAAGGAGUUGACAAUCCUAUUAAUUUGGAGUCAGCUACCUGGUGGCUAUCAGUCUCAUUCUCUCUCCUGCCCACCUUUCCUGCCUGUGUUCCUGGCGUUCUUUUUGAAAGCAGGCUGCAAGCAGUCACAUCGUCACCCUGGGGCAUUUCCCUGUGCUUUGUGCUGCCUGGAAGAGCUCAUAGCCAAGGAAGGGUGAAGACGGCGCGCUGCGGUGUGCGGCUUCUAGGCUGUGGAGCUCUAGUGUUGCCUUUUGGGUUCAGGGACCCACUGGGCCACUGUGAGGUGGGCUGGAGCUGCAUUUCACCGACUGCCUUGCUGCAGGAGCCCUGCUCUGACUGGAGGGCCACAGAGCACACCGGGCCCCCCCGUAAGCCAGGUACGAGACUACCCGUCUCCUGCAGCAGGGCUCGGGGACCUCCCCAUGGAGCCACAGGCAUGGGCUUGGGGAGAGGCCCAGUGGAGAAUAGAGGGUGGCACGG
rnacentral:lncRNA from 10 species